rnacentral:rRNA from 1 species
GUUAUAUGGUCAAGUGAAGAAGCGCAUACGGUGGAUGCCUUGGCAGUCAGAGGCGAUGAAAGACGUGGUAGCCUGCGAAAAGCUUCGGGGAGUCGGCAAACAGACUUUUGAUCCGGAGAUCUCUGAAUGGGGGAACCCACCUAGGAUAACCUAGGUAUCUUGUACUGAAUCCAUAGGUGCAAGAGGCGAACCAGGGGAACUGAAACAUCUAAGUACCUGAGGAAAGAAAUCAACCGAGAUUCCCUUAGUAGUGGCGAGCGAACGGGGAUUAGCCCUUAAGCUUCAUU